GAGCCACGCCCAUUGGUCACCGCCCCGCACAAACCCUACCCUUUCCAGCGCUCCCAAAUUGAUGCAGCCGCCUCCCCUCUCCCUCCCUUCCUUCCCAAACGCGCCGGCCGCCUCCUCUCCACCUGCCGCCUCCCCUCUCCCUCCCUUCCUCCCCAAACGCGCCGGCCGCCUCCUCUCCACCUGCCAUACCGCGUCCCUGCUGGCGGUGGGAGGAUAUCCGGGGGAGCAGAGGAGGGGGUUGGAUGAGGGGUUAGGAGGUGCGAGGCGAGCAGGAGGUGGGGUUGCCGGAGGAGCACAGCCGCCAGAGCAGAGCAGAGGAGUUCGAUGCAGGGGCACAAUGGGAUUGUCGGAGAGCGCGCGGUAUCCUGCGAUACAUAUCCGCUCCCAAGCAAAGGAUGCAUCAGCGCUCGCUCCUCCUCUCCCCGACGCCACCGCUUUCCUGCGUCGUUGCUGUCGCCACGGCCUUGCUUGCCAUCGACCUCCCGGAGUGCUUCUCUCCACUGCAUUCCCCUUUGCACGAGUUCUUGCCUUCAAAGCUAAGAUGAAAUGGCUCUUCUCAUAUUUGCCUAUAAACUGUUUGAUGAAAUGCUUGUGUCGUAACGAGUUCUUUUUCUUCAGUUUGUUCUUCCUGCUGCUAAGUAUUAGUCCUCUUAUUGAUCUUGCCUGAUUUUCUCGUCGGUCUUGCAUUUGAAGCUCAGGGGUUGUGACUCUAUGAGGAUGUUGUUUAGUGUGAACUGCAACUUUUUUUGGUUGGUGGAGUUCCUCGAGCAUUGCUUAACUUGAAUGAUAAACUACUGAGCAAGUUGGCCUGAGAGCAGCGAGGUUACAGCUCCAGAUGGUUCUUGGUUGCAAUGGGGGGAGAUGCAGGGGAGGGUGAGGAGGCUAACGACAGGGUGAAGUAGCCCGGCGACGAGUGCAAGCAGCAUGAGGCAUUGUAUGGGAUUGAUCUAUCAUGCUGGGAUUAGUUGUAGACUUCCUUGCUGAACCAUACAGGGAGCAAUGCAUCCCCAGUUUGCUUCCAGAGAAGGAAGGGGAAGAGUUGAACCUGCUUGUUCUUCAUUGAUUCCUAAAUAAAUAUCUAAUCUGUAAUAUAUUUUUAUAUCUAUGCUCAGUUACAAUUACAACAUGGGGCUUCAAGUGUCUAUUACUGUGGAUCACCAAUAUUUUGUUAUAUCCGUGCAUUUUAGUUACGACUAAGUGCCACACCAAUGAAUGUGAAUGUCUGUUCAGGGUUUUCUUGUUGCUGCUAUUCCUCGUGGAUAUUCAAGAGGCAACUUGGCACCUAAUGUCAGCAACGUGCUUAUCGGUGACGAGGGAAAUGAAAGAAGGCUGCAAUGGAAUUUGUACUAGAUCAGAUUUUGGCCAUGUAGUUUCCGGUGACUGGAAGUCUAAAACUGAGGAUAGGACAGAUUGUUUUGAUUCCGAUUACUUGGAGAUCUUGUGGCUUGCUGUCCCUGGAUCAGUCAGACCUACGGCAGCAUCAACUCGUUGAUCCUAGAGGCCAUGGUUCUCGAGGUGAGUUGAGUUGCUACUUGGUUGGAGAUGUUGAUGUCGUUCGAGACGCCCGCUGGAUUCACCCUUUUCAAGGUUCUGAAUAAGGGCAAGCUCGACAAGGUCGAGUGGUACAGGUAUGAUCUUCAUGGAGCUAGCCAUCAUUGGAUUUGGUAAUACAUAAUCACUUAUUCAGAGAGCCCAAGGUGAGAAGGGAAGAGCAUCUAGAACACCACCACCUACUAAUCAGAGUUUCCUACCUUUCUUCUGCAAAUCUGGAAUGCCUUUAUGGCAUGAUCAUGUGAAAAAGUACCUUGAUGCAGUAAUGGAUUUGAUUAUCACUGGUUACUCUGUUUUCACGAAUUACUAUCCAACCGUAAGUCUGUUCUAUACCCUAAGGCCCAUGUAAAUCUGAUAGAAGAUUAAGCUAUUUAAUUUUAACUAAAAAGGAUAAUAUUCUUUCAGUCGCUUGAAUCUGUCCAGACCUGAAAAAUACUUAUACUUUGGAAGCUUGAUAUAUGAGUAUGUAAUUUUACAGAGCAUGGAAGAACCAAAAGGUAGUUGAUCAGCAGGAUGGCAAGAGGAAGACAAGAACCAAAUUAAAGUUUGUUGAUGUGCAUGUCUGUAUCUAUCAAGAUUCAGUGCUAUGUAGAAAUGUCCCUGAGAUUUGUUUCACUCAACGAGACCAAACAAUCAGGAACACAAGUAGGAUAGUUGAUGCUUUUUUCAUUUUUCUUCUGAUAAAAAGGAAUCUUCAUCUGCCAAGAAUACCGCCUACAAGCAUGUAUGCCUAAUUACCUAUAUGCUGAUUUAACAAGCUCACAUACAUGUCCAUUUUUGAAAAUAGUUUACCAUCCUCAAACAUAUAACUUGUGUGUUGUUGCUUUCCAUUAUAUUGAGAAAAACAUAAGUUUCAUUGGACCUUUUAUUCA